rnacentral:rRNA from 1 species
GAUGAACGCUGGCGGCGUGCCUAAUACAUGCAAGUCGAGCGAACAGACGAGGAGCUUGCUCCUCUGACGUUAGCGGCGGACGGGUGAGUAACACGUGGAUAACCUACCUAUAAGACUGGGAUAACUUCGGGAAACCGGAGCUAAUACCGGAUAAUAUAUUGAACCGCAUGGUUCAAUAGUGAAAGACGGUUUUGCUGUCACUUAUAGAUGGAUCCGCGCCGCAUUAGCUAGUUGGUAAGGUAACGGCUUACCAAGGCAACGAUGCGUAGCCGACCUGAGAGGGGGGUAGGCCACACUGGAGCGGAGACAGGGUCCAGACUACUACGGGAGGCAGCAGUAGGGAAUCUUCCGCAAUGGGGGAAAGCCUGACGGAGCAACGCCGAGUGAGUGAUGAAGGUCUUCGGAUCGUAAAACUCUGUUAUUAGGGAAGAACAAAUGUGUAAGUAACUAUGCACGUCUUGACGGUACCUAAUCAGAAAGCCACGGCUAACUACGUG